CAUACAUAAUGAAAGAGAUUCUUGGCAUCUGUGUAUCGAUAAAGUAUUGCCCCGGAAAAUAUUGCAAUACUAUGCUGCAUCAAUUUUUCUAAC